rnacentral:rRNA from 1 species
AGGACGAACGCUGGCGGCGUGCUUAACACAUGCAAGUCGAACGGAAAGGCCCGCUUGCGGGUACUCGAGUGGCGAACGGGUGAGUAACACGUGGGCAACCUGCCCUCAGCUCUGGGAUAACUCCGGGAAACCGGUGCUAAUACUGGAUAUCGACUUCUGCUCGCAUGGGUAGUUGUUGAAAGUUUUUCGGCUGGGGAUGGGCCCGCGGCCUAUCAGCUUGUUGGUGGGGUGAUGGCCUACCAAGGCGACGACGGGUAGCCGGCCUGAGAGGGCGACCGGCCACGACUGGGACUGAGACACGGCCCAGACUCCUACGGGAGGCAGCAGUGGGGAAUAUUGCGCAAUGGGCGAAGCCUGACGCAGCGACGCCGCGUGAGGGAUGACGGCCUUCGGGUUGUAAACCUCUUUCAGCUCUGACGAAGCGAGAGUGACGGUAGGAGCAGAAGAAGCACCGGCAACUACGUGCCAGCAGCCGC